rnacentral:rRNA from 1 species
AUUGAACGCUGGCGGCAUGCCUUACACAUGCAAGUCGAACGGCAGCACGGGAGCAAUCCUGGUGGCGAGUGGCGAACGGGUGAGUAAAGUAUCGGAACGUGCCCAGUCGUGGGGGAUAACGUAGCGAAAGUUACGCUAAUACCGCAUACGAUCUAUGGAUGAAAGCGGGGGAUCGCAAGACCUCGCGCGAUUGGAGCGGCCGAUAUCAGAUUAGGUAGUUGGUGGGGUAAAGGCUCACUAAGCCGACGAUCUGUAGCUGGUCUGAGAGGACGACCAGCCACACUGGGACUGAGACACGGCGCAGACUCCUACGGGAGGCAGCAGUGGGGAAUUUUGGACAAUGGGCGCAAGCCUGAUCCAGCCAUGCCGCGUGCAGGAUGAAGGCCUUCGGGUAGUAAACUGCUUUUGUACGGAACGAAAAGGUUUGGCUUAAUACGUUGGACUCAUGACGGUACCGUAAGAAUAAGCACCGGCUAACUACGUGCCAGCCGCCGCAGUAA